rnacentral:rRNA from 1 species
GAUCCUGGCUCAGGAUGAACGCUAGCUACAGGCUUAACACAUGCAAGUCGAGGGGAAACGACAUCGAAAGCUUGCUUUUGAUGGGCGUCGACCGGCGCACGGGUGAGUAACGCGUAUCCAACCUGCCUACCACUUGGGGAUAACCUUGCGAAAGUAAGACUAAUACCCAAUGACAUCCCACGAAGACAUCUGAAUGGGAUUAAAGAUUUAUCGGUGACGGAUGGGGAUGCGUCUGAUUAGCUUG